CUGGAUUUAGUAGACUCUCUCGCCUCCAGGGGGCGACAAGCCUCAACAGAUGAACCGGGUUCAACAGCUUCCUGUUGACAAGCAGAGAUCAGUGCUCGGCUGGUUGCACUGGGACACGUCCUCGUCCCCUGGAGCUGUACAGAGCUCAGCAUGGCCUUUACAGUCUUCCUAUUGGGUUUGGGUUUGCUUCACUUGACGGGGAGCGAGGGUGUUUCUAAAGCUCUGAGUGUCCAUCAGAGUCCUCCUUUCAUCAUCAAGAGGGUCGGUGAGUCUGCGACCGGAGAGUUCCACUGCUCACACAGCAUUCCCAACUAUGAGCGUGUCCUCUGGUACAAACAAGAUGGAACCCAAGCCUUUAGGUACCUGGGGUACCUGAACCUGAAGCACAAGUAUCUAGACGAGAGCGUGAAGGGAAAGAUCAGCUUUGAUGGAGACGGCGGCAGUGCUUCCACCCUGACCGUCUUUAACGUCACGCUGGAGGACAGCGGCGUCUACUUCUGUUCUACCACUCAGCACAGUGCUGCAGACUCGCCCUGAGUCAAUGCAAAAACCUCCUGCACACCUGCAGCCAGACUCUCCCCAACAGGGUCUCUGGAGAUGCUAAUCAGCUGCUCUGACCCAGUUGGGAUCCGUCAGGGC